UACGUAGGGUGCGAGCGUUGUCCGGAAUUAUUGGGCGUAAAGAGCUCGUAGGCGGUCUGUCGCGUCGGUCGUGAAAACUUGGGGCUUAACCCUGAGCUUGCGGUCGAUACGGGCAUGACUGGAGUUCGGUAGGGGAGACUGGAAUUCCUGGUGUAGCGGUGAAAUGCGCAGAUAUCAGGAGGAACACCGAUAGCGAAGGCAGCUCGCUGGGACGGUACUGACGCUGAGGCGCGAAAGCGUGGGUAGCAAACAGG
rnacentral:rRNA from 1 species